GACAGACAGGGGUUAAUAUAGAGACAGACAGACAGGGGUUAAUAUAGAGACAGACAGACAGGGGUUAAUAUAGACAGACAGACAGGGGUUAAUAUAGACAGACAGACAGGGGUUAAUAUAGACAGACAGACAGGGGUUAAUAUAGAGACAGACAGACAGGGGUUAAUAUAGACAGACAGACAGGGGUUAAUAUAGACAGACAGACAGGGGUUAAUAUAGACAGACAGACAGGGGUUAAUAUAGACAGACAGACAGGGGUUAAUAUAAACAGACAGACGGGGGUUAAUAUAAACAGACAGACAGGGGUUAAUAUAAACAGACAGACAGGGGUUAAUAUAAACAGACAGACAGGGGUUGAUAUAGACAGACAGACAGGGGUUAAUAUAAACAGACAGACAGGGGUUAAUAUAGACAGACAGGGGUUAAUAUAGACAGACAGGGGUUAAUAUAGACAGACAGGGGUUAAUAUAGACAGACAGGGGUUAAUAUAGACAGACAGGGGUUAAUAUAGACAGACAGGGGUUAAUAUAGACAGACAGGGGUUAAUAUAGACAGACAGGGGUUAAUAUAGACAGACAGGGGUUAAUAUAGACAGACAGGGGUUAAUAUAGAGACAGACAGACAGGGGUUAAUAUAGACAGACAGACAGGGGUUAAUAUAGACAGACAGACAGGGGUUAAUAUAGAGACAGACAGACAGGGGUUAAUAUAGAGACAGACAGGGGUUAAUAUAGAGACAGACAGACAGGGGUUAAUAUAGAGACAGACAGACAGGGGUUAAUAUAGAGACAGACAGACAGGGGUUAAUAUAUAGACAGACAGACAGGGGUUAAUAUAGAGACAGACAGACAGGGGUUAAUAUAGACAGACAGACAGGGGUUAAUAUAGAGACAGACAGACAGGGGUUAAUAUAGAGACAGACAGACAGGGGUUAAUAUAGAGACAGACAGACAGGGGUUAAUAUAGAGACAGACAGAC